CGCUAAACUAGUGCCGCGGCUCGCGGAAA
rnacentral:sRNA from 1 species